ACAAACUGAGCCCCUACC
rnacentral:piRNA from 1 species